UACAGAGGGUGCGAGCGUUAAUCGGAAUUACUGGGCGUAAAGCGCACGUAGGUGGCGACGUAAGUCGGGUGUGAAAGCCCCGGGCUCAACCUGGGAAUUGCAUUCGAGACUGCAUUGCUGGAGUACGGAAGAGGAGGGCGGAAUUCCCGGUGUAGCGGUGAAAUGCGUAGAUAUCGGGAGGAACAUCAGUGGCGAAGGCGGCCCUCUGGUCCAGUACUGACGUUCAGGCACGAAAGCGUGGGGAGCAAACAGG
rnacentral:rRNA from 1 species